rnacentral:rRNA from 1 species
UGGGGAAUUUUGGACAAUGGGCGCAAGCCUGAUCCAGCCAUGCCGCGUGAGUGAAGAAGGCCUUCGGGUUGUAAAGCUCUUUCGGCGGGGAAGAAAUGGCAACGGCUAAUAUCCGUUGUUGAUGACGGUACCCGCAUAAGAAGCACCGGCUAACUACGUGCCAGCAGCCGCGGUAAUACGUAGGGUGCGAGCGUUAAUCGGAAUUACUGGGCGUAAAGCGUGCGCAGGCGGUUGUGUAAGUCAGAUGUGAAAUCCCCGGGCUCAACCUGGGAACUGCAUUUGAGACUGCACGGCUAGAGUGUGACAGAGGGGGGUAGAAUUCCACGUGUAGCAGUGAAAUGCGUAGAGAUGUGGAGGAAUACCGAUGGCGAAGGCAGCCCCCUGGGUUACUACUGACGCUCAUGCACGAAAGCGUGGGGAGCAAACAGG